GGAGUUUGGACCGUGUCUCAGUUCCAAUGUGGGGGACCUUCCUCUCAGAACCCCUACUGAUCGUCGGCCAGGUGGGCCGUUACCCCGCCUGCAACCUAAUCAGACGCAUCCCCAUCCCUUAGCGAUGAAUCUUUGCUUCACGUUAGAUGUCCGCUGUGAAGAACAUAGGGUAUUAAUCCGAUUUUCACCGGGCUAUCCUCUACUAAGGGGAAGGUUGGAUACGCGUUACUCACCCGUGCGCCGGUCGCCAGCAACAAUAGCAAGCUAUCGUCCUGCUGCCCCUCGACUUGCAUGUGUUAAGCCUGUAGCUAGCGUUCAUC
rnacentral:rRNA from 1 species